rnacentral:rRNA from 1 species
GUACUCAACAAGGAAGUGACGGCUAACUACGUGCCAGCAGCCGCGGUUAAACGUAGUCACAAGCGUUGUCCGGAAUUACUGGGUGUAAAGGGAGCGCAGGCGGGAGACAAGUUGGAAGUGAAAUCUAUGGGCUCAACCCAUAAACUGCUUUCAAAACUGUUUUUCUUGAGUAGUGCAGAGGUAGGCGGAAUUCCCGGUGUAGCGGUGGAAUGCGUAGAUAUCGGGAGGAACACCAGUGGCGAAGGCGGCCUACUGGGCACCAACUGACGCUGAGGCUCGAAAGUGUGGGUAGCAAACAGGAUUAGAUACCCUGGUAGUCCACACCGUAAACGAUGAUUACUAGGUGUUGGAGGAUUGACCCCUUCAGUGCCGCAGUUAACACCAUAAGUAAUCCACCUGGGGA